UAGUCAUAUGCUUGUCUCAAAGAUUAAGCCAUGCAUGCCUAAGUACACACUUUGGUAAAGUGAAACCGCGAAUGGCUCAUUAAAUCAGCUACAAUUUAUUAGAUCGUACUGUUACUUGGAUAACUGUGGGAAUUCUAGAGCUAAUACAUGCCGAGAGUCUCUGCUCUUCGGGGCAGAGCGCAGUUAUUAGACCAAAACCAGCCGUAUCUUUCGGGGUACGUACUUUUGGUGACUCUGGAUAACCUUCAGCCGAUCGCAUGGCCUUGUGCCGGCGACGUAUCUUUCAAGUGUCUGCCCUAUCAACUUUCGAUGGUACGUGAUAUGCCUACCAUGGUGAUAACGGGUAACGGGGAAUCAGGGUUCGAUUCCGGAGAGGGAGCCUGAGAAAUGGCUACCACAUCCAAGGAUGGCAGCAGGCGCGCAAAUUACCCACUCCCAGCUUGGGGAGGUAGUGACGAAAAAUAACAAUGCGGGACUCUAAGAGGCCCCGUAAUUGGAAUGAGUACACCUUAAAUCGUUUAACGAGUAUCAAUU
rnacentral:rRNA from 1 species